CACCUAACAACCACACCCCUCCUCGAGAGAAGCCUCUAGAGCACAGCUCCUCACCAUGGACUGGACCUGGAGGAUCCUCUUCUUGGUGGCAGCGGCAACAGGUGCCCACUCCCAGGUGCAGCUGGUGCAAUCUGGGGCUGAAGUGAAGAAGCCUGGGGCCUCAGUGAAGGUCUCCUGCAAGGCUUCUGGAUACACCUUUACCAGCUACUAUAUGCACUGGGUGCGACAGGCCCCUGGACAAGGGCUCGAGUGGGUGGGAGUGAUCUACCCUAGUAGUGGUGGCACAAACUACACACAGAAGCUCCAGGGCAGAGUCACCAUAACCAGGGACACAUCCACAAGCACAGCCUACAUGGAGCUGAGCAGCCUGAUAUCUGAGGAUACAGCCGUGUAUUACUGUGCAAAAGACACACAGUGUGAAAACAACAUCCUGAGAGUGUCAGAAACCCCAGGGAGUGGGCAGCGGCACUGA